UCUCUCCUACCUGCCUCGCCUUCCACUAAAUCUAUUUAGGGACGCCAGUGUUUGUGGCACCAUCUUUGACUAGGCUUUCCCCCCCUUUCAGUCCUGUUUCUGCCUUAGGCUACUGGCCCUAUUUGCAGGUAGCUUCCCUCAAACACCAUCCUGAAAAGGCCCACUAAACUCGAAGGACGCUACCCUGCAGAACCUCAAACUGAAAAAAUAAAUUGAAUGCAGCCCACUACAAAUUGCCAAGGAGGAAGAAGCUGAUAUCUGUAUGUAUAUUCUGGACACAAAUGAGAAGACAAUCCCUACCCAUGAUGUCUUGAGGUUCUUAACUAUUAAAUUAACUUCUAAAGAGGUGUACCAUCGAGUGAGAUACUUGAAAAAAAAGGAGAAAACAAUAACAAAACUUCCCUAGAAGCCCUACAACAUAAUAUUCAAUAUUGAAUGUCAAACUUUGAUUUCAACAUCAAUUGUAUAUAUGAAUCAAACUUUACUGGAAAAGUUUCUUAUUGUGGUGAAAGUUAAAGCAAAGUUCAAAUUUGUAAUCACUUAAGUAGUUUGUUAUAUAAGUUGUUUUAAGCUUGAUAUUAACAUAUACUAAGUUGAUUCCAGAGAGAUAUGGGUCUAAAUUUAAAACAAAAUAGAAAUAUAGUCUUAGUAAUAUACAGCAUUUGAGUUACAACUGUUUGGAUUACUAUAGUUUAUAGUUAAAUGGUUAAAGAAUUUAAUUUCAUUUAAGGUAGAAGCUGAAAAUAAUGUAUUUAGUGUGUAAGAUUUGGAUAGAGGGUGGUUUGAUUAACCUAUUAAUCAAACCAGGAACACAUUGUUUCAUGUAUGUCUUUGUAUUUAGAAUUUUGUUUCAAAGUUCAAACAUUAAAAAGUUUAUUUCAUCCACGAUAAGUUACAUUAUAAGCUAUAUUAGAUCAAUGUGUAUAUAUCAUAUUAUAGAUGUUCUGAACAUAUUUCAAACUCAUGACAGAUUUUAAGUGCUUAUCAUUUAAUGUCAAUGGCCUUAAUAACACCAUAAAAAGAACUAGUUUAUUUAAAUUUAUAAAAUGCAUAAAGCUCAUAUAUUUUUUUUGCAAGAGACUCAUUUACUUAAAAAUAUUUAUACAAAUUGUAUUUUAAGGAGUAUUCUGUACUAGCAGCUUCCUAUUACAAAACCAAAAAGAGAAGAACUAUUAUAUUAUGGAAAAACCUUUUAUCAUGCCCAAAAUUAUUAGUGCUUUUCCUGAUAAGGAAGGAAUGAUGUGUCUAGCAGUAUAAGCAAUAAAUGAGAAAUGUUAUACAUUGAUCAACUCUUACUGAUACCUGACUUAGGAUCUAGAUUUGUAAAAAAAUAUUUAGAUACUAUAACUCUCCAUGUCAGAGGUGAAAUUAUUUUAACUGGUGAUUUUAACUGUCUAUUACCAGACAGGGAUUCAUCCAGAAUUAACAAGCCCAAAUUAUCAGCACAAUGCAAAAAAUUGAAUCACGUCAUUUCUUCAAUAAAUCAUAGAGAUAUUUAUGAUCUAAGAGGAGAAAAUUCUCUUGAUUAUACUCAUUAUUCCUUUAGAUUUGGAACCCAAACAAACAUAGAUAAAAUCUUUAUUUCUAACAAUUCAUAAUUCAAAAUAUGAGAAGUCUUAAUAAUGUCAUGUCCACUUUCUGUCAUAAUGCCCUUACUUUUAACAUCAAAAUAAGUAAUAAUGACUUCGUUUUUUGGCAAAGAAUUCCAGCUUACAUAAUAAAAAUCAAAGGUUUUAAAGACUUGGUUUUAAAUUAAAUAAAUACAUUUUUGGAAUUUAAUAACAAUGGAGAGGUAAUCGACACCAAACUAUGGGAUGCUUUAAAAGUUUACUUUUAUGGUAAGAUAAAGAAUUGGUAUUUUUAAAGCAGAAAGAAUGGGAUAGGGAGUUAAUGGAAUUGCAAACCAAAAUAGAUAAAUUAAAAUCAAAUUUAAACCAUAAUGAUAAAACCAUGUGCAGAACUAUCAAUCUUAAAUCAAAAAUACCAUGACAUUUUAAAUCAUAAGGCUUCAAUCAAUAUGAAGAGACUCAAAUUACAGUAAUAUUCUGUAACCCCUAGACAUCUGCAUAAAAUAGCAAUCAGAACCAAACAAGUUAAUAACUUAAAUUGUAUUAAUGAAAUCAAAUGCACAGUUAAUGGCUCUAUUAAAAAAACAACAGAUUUAAAAGAUAAACUAGAAGCAUUUAAAAAUAUUAUGAAUCAAUUAAUGAGGUAAACCUUGAUUUAGAGAACAACAACAUAAUAGAUAAAUUACUCCAAAAUAACAUAAAUAACAAAUUAUUAAAUAAACCAAUAUCACUCUCGGAAUUGAAAAGCCAGAUUAAAAGCCUAAAAACUAAUAUGGCUCCAAGCUUAGAUGGUUUAAUUCCAGAAUUAUAUCAAAUUUUCCAAGACUCAACAUUAAAAAUAUUAUUAAGCGCUUUCUAUAUCAUUAAAAAUGAUGUGAAAAGUCCCCCUUUCAUGGAGAUAUUCAUUGACUUCCUCAAUGUUAAAACAAGGCAAGAAACCACAAUUAUGCUCCUCCUAUCACCCAAUUUAUUUGCUAAACAUUGAUUACAAAAUGUUUAUGUCCAUAUUGGCUAAGAGCUUAAACAAUAUAUUGCCCAGUGUUAUACAUUAUGAUCAAACAAUGUUUAUAUUACACAGAAGAGUACAGCACAAUAUAAUUAAAUAACUUUUGCUCAUCAAUAUUGCUAAUAAAACUAAAAAAAGCUAACUAUUAUUAGUUUAGAUAUUGAAAAAGCCUUUGAUUCAAUAAGUUGGGCAUAUUUAAAUAAAAUACUCAAAGGAUAUAACUUCCCCCUAGAUUUCAUUAAUUUAAUACUAAAAUUAUAUAAUGAUUCUCAAGCAUAUGUUAAAAUAGGACCUUGUCUAUCAUCACCAUUUAAAAUAACUAAAUGUACAAAGCAAGGCUUUCCAUUAUCACCCUUACUGUUUGCCCUGUCAGUAGAACCAUUUGCCACCUAUAUACUGUAAGAAAGAAUAAUAAUAUAAAAGGAUUUUCAAUAAAUACAGAUCAUUGUUCAAAAAUUCAGCUGGUUGUGGACGAUAUCCUUCUAACAAGUGAAGAUAUUGACUCUUCUUUACAUUAUAUUAUCAAAUCAAUUAAUUUAUUUGAAAAAGUCUCAGGUCUAAACUUUAAUCAAAACAAAACUGAAACGUUAUUAAUCAAUACAAACAUUAACAAGACUCUACAAAAUCAAAAGAACUUUAAUUGAGAAAACAAAACAAUACAAUAUUUAGGAAUCAUUAUAAAACCCACAUGGAAAGAAACUAUACUCCUAAACUAUACAAACCUAAUAAAUGUAAUUACUAAACUAAUAAAUAAUUGGAAUAAAAUGUUUUUCACCAUGGAAAACAGAUUCACAUUAAUAAAAAUGGCUAUUCUACCAAACAUUUUAUUUUAUACACAAUCUUUAACUCUAAUCCCUCCAAAAAAUGUUCCAAGCAAAUAAAUGCCAUAGUAAUUAAGUUCCUUUGGUUUCCUCAAAAAACGAGAAUAGCUUAUAAUUGGCAUAUAAGAGGGUGGGAUGAUGGAGGAAGUGGCU